CAGAUACUAGGCAGCUGUGGUCCAUCAUGGAUUCCCAAGGUAAUGCUGGAACUGCACAAGCCAUGCCUCUGGAAUGCAUAGAGGCCAGGUGAGCUCUGGUCGGAGACAUACCGCCACCGGCACUGCCACACAGGAUACUUUCCGGAGCCCCAUGGCAGCAACUUGCACAGUCCCGGCGUUACCGCUGGUGAGCACAGCAUGAUUUGAAAUGUCCUUGACCCUGAUGAGGCUGACAUCUAUGGUGCCAACUGUCUUUCCACCAUCCGAGCUCCUGAAAAAAGAAAUUGCCGG